GACGAACGCUGGCGGCGUGCUUAACACAUGCAAGUCGAACGGAAAGGCCCUGCUUUUGUGGGGUGCUCGAGUGGCGAACGGGUGAGUAACACGCGUGUAACCCGCCCUUGUCUUUGGGAUAACUUCUGGAAACUGGGGCUAAUAUCGGAUAGGAGCUCCUGCUGCAUGGUGGGGGAUGGAAAGUUUCGGCGGUUGGGGAUGGACUCGCGGCUUAUCAGCUUGUUGGUGGGGUAGUGGCUUACCAAGGCUUUGACGGGUAGCCGGCCUGAGAGGGUGACCGGCCACAUUGGGACUGAGAUACGGCCCAGACUCCUACGGGAGGCAGCAGUGGGGAAUAUUGCACAAUGGGCGGAAGCCUGAUGCAGCAGCGCCGCGUGCGGGAUGACGGCCUUCGGGUUGUAAACCGCUUUCGCCUGUGACGAAGCGUGAGUGACGGUAAUGGGUAAAGAAGCACCGGCUAACUACGUG
rnacentral:rRNA from 1 species